UACGGAGGGGGCUAGCGUUGUUCGGAAUUACUGGGCGUAAAGCGCACGUAGGCGGCUUUGUAAGUUAGAGGUGAAAGCCCAGGGCUUAACCCUGGAAUUGCCUUUAAGACUGCAUCGCUAGAAUCUGGCAGAGGGGGGUGGAAUUCGACGUGUAGCAGUGAAAUGCGUAGAGAUGUGGAGGAACACCGAUGGCGAAGGCAGCCCCCUGGGCUGAGAUUGACGCUCAGGCACGAAAGCGUGGGGAGCAAACAGG
rnacentral:rRNA from 1 species